rnacentral:rRNA from 1 species
GUACACGCUGUGACUAGCAUAUCAAUAAGCGGAGGAAAAGAAACUAACAAGGAUUCCCCUAGUAACGGCGAGUGAAGCGGGAAGAGCUCAAAUUUGAAAUCUUAAAGGGUUUCCCUUUACGAAUUGUAGUUUAAAGAAGUGUUCUCUGUUGAGGUUUUGGUAAAAGUUCUUUGGAAUAGGACAUCAUAGAGGGUGAGAAUCCCGUAUUAGACCUUUACUUUCAACUUUGUGAUACACUUUCAAAGAGUCGGAUUGUUUGGGGAUGCAGUCCAAAAUGGGUGGUAAAUUUCAUCUAAAGCUAAAUAUUGGCGAGAGACCGAUAGCGAACAAGUACCGUGAGGGAAAGAUGAAAAGAACUUUGAAAAGAGAGUUAAACAGUACGUGAAAUUGUCAAAAGGGUAGCGUUUGACACCAGUGUUGUUUUUCUGAAAAUCAAUUAAAGAACUGUUUAUGCUAAGUUGUUUAGACUUUAUCAGCUAUCUGUUUAGUUUUGAGCUUUUCUUUAAUGCACUUUUCAGUUAACAAGUCAACAUCAAUUUCUUUUGCUGUAAAAAAGCUUGAGGAAGGUGGCUUGAGAUUCGUCUUAAGUGUUUAUAGCCUCUUGCCUAUGCAGUCGGAGAGAUUGAGGUCUGCAGCGUAGAUCCUUCGGGGCUAAAUGCAUUUGUGCUAAGUUAUAGCAUUUCAUAGACAACUUGUUGACUAUGAUUUGUCUUGUAGCUUACUCGCUUAUGUUAUUUUACCUACGCUUAGGAUGUUGACGAGACUGUCGAUCUCAUCUAUACAUGACUCUGUGCAUAUCAAUAAGCGGAGGAAAAGUCAAUACCUACGCUUAGGAUGUUGACGAGACUGUCGAUCUC